rnacentral:rRNA from 1 species
CGUUCCAUUAGGCAGUUGGUGAGGUAACGGCUCACCAAACCUUCGAUGGAUAGGGGUUCUGAGAGGAAGGUCCCCCACAUUGGAACUGAGACACGGUCCAAACUCCUACGGGAGGCAGCAGUGAGGAAUAUUGGUCAAUGGGCGCAGGCCUGAACCAGCCAAGUAGCGUGAAGGAUGACUGCCCUAUGGGUUGUAAACUUCUUUUAUAUGGGAAUAAAGUUUUCCACGUGUGGAAUUUUGUAUGUACCAUAUGAAUAAGGAUCGGCUAACUCCGUGCCAGCAGCCGCGGUAAUACGGAGGAUCCGAGCGUUAUCCGGAUUUAUUGGGUUUAAAGGGAGCGUAGGUGGACAGUUAAGUCAGUUGUGAAAGUUUGCGGCUCAACCGUAAAAUUGCAGUUGAUACUGGCUGUCUUGAGUACAGUAGAGGUGGGCGGAAUUCGUGGUGUAGCGGUGAAAUGCUUAGAUAUCACGAAGAACUCCGAUUGCGAAGGCAGCUCACUGG